rnacentral:tRNA from 1 species
UUCUCUAAAGUUUAAAACAUUAGAUUGCAAAUCUAAAAUUGUAAGAGAAA